AUUUGUCAUUUUUCCCUUGCUGCUUUCAAUAUUUUUUCUUUGUCUUUAAUUUUUGCCAAUUCGAUUACUAUGUAUCUUGGCGUGCUUCUCCUUGGGUUUAUCCUGUAUGGGACUCUGCGCUUCCUGGACUUGGGUGGCUAUCUCCUUUCCCAUGCUAGGGAAGUUUUCAACUAUAAUCUCUUCAAAUAUUUUCUUGGGUCCUUUCUCUCUCUCUUCUCCUUCUGGGACCCCUAUAAUGCAAAUGUUGUUGCAUUUAAUGUUGUCCCAGAGGUCUCUUAGGCUGUCUACAUUUCUUUUUAUUCUUUUUUCUUUAUUCUGUUCCACAGCAAUGAAUUCCACCCAGGUCACUUAUCUGUUCUUCUGCCUCACUUAUUCUGCUAUUGAUUCCUUCUAGAGAAUUUUUAAUUUCACUUAUUGUUGUUCAUCAUUGUUUGUUCGCUCAUUAGUUCUUCUAGGUCCUUGUUAAACAUUUCUUGUAUUUUCUCCAUUCUAUUUCCAAGAUUUUGGAUCAUCUUUACUAUCAUUACUCUGAAUUGUUUUCCAGGUAGACUGCCUAUUUCCUCUUCACUUGUUUGGUCUGGUGGGUUUUUACCAUGCUCCUUCAUCUGCUGUGUAUUUCUCAUUUUGCUUAACUUACUGUGUUUGGGGUCUCCUUUUCACAGGCUUCACAUUCCGUUCAUGCUUCCUAUUGUUUUUGGUGUCUGCCUGCAGUGACUAAAGUUGGUUCAGUGGGUUGUGUAGGCUUCCUGGUGGAGGGGACUGGUGCCUGUGUUCUGGUGGAUGAGGCUGGAUCUUGUCUUUCUGAUGGGCAGGACCACAUCCAGUGGUGUGUUUUGGGGUGUCUGUGACCUUAUGAUUUUAGGCAGCCUCUCUGCUAAUGGAUGGGGUUGUGUUCCUGUCUUGCUAGUUGUUUGGCAUAGGGUGUCUAGCACUGUAGCUUGCUAGUCAUUGAGUAGAGCUGGGUCUUUGUGUUGAGAUGGAGAUCUCUGAGAGAGCUUUUGCCGUUUGAUAUUACAUGGGGCCAGGAGGUCUCUGGUGGACCAAAGUCCUGAACUCAGCUCUCUCACCUCAGAGGCUCAGACCUGAUACCUGGCUGGAGCACCGAGAUCCUGUCAGCCACGUGGCUCAGAAGAAAAAGGAGAAAAGAAAGAUAGAAAGAAAGAAAAAUAAAAUAAAAUAAAAUAAAGUUAUUAAAAUAAAAAAUAUAUUGUUAAGAGUGAAAAAAAAGCAAUAAAGAAAAGAAAGAAAGAAGAGAGCAGCCAAACCAAAAAACAAAUCAACCAAUGAUAAGAAGUGCUAAAAACUAUACUAAAAAAAUAAAAAUAAUGGAGAGACAGAACCCUAGGACAAAUGGUAAAAGCAAAGUUAUACAGACAAAAUCACACAAAGAAGCACACACAUACACACUCACAAAAGGAGAAAAAUGAAAAAAAAAUAUAUAUA